rnacentral:misc_RNA from 1 species
GAUGAAGAACGCAGCGAAAUGCGAUAAGUAAUGAGAAUUACAGAAUUCAGUGAAUCAUCGAAUCUUUGAACGCACAUUGCGCCCGCCAGUAUUCUGGCGGGCAUGCCUGUCCGAGCGUCAUUUCAACCAUCAAGCCCCCGGGCUUGUGUUGGGGACCUGCGGCUGCCCGCAGGCCCUGAAAACCAGUGGCGGGCUCGCUGUCACACCGAGCGUAGUAGCAAUCACCUCGCUCAGGGCGUGCUGCGGGUUCCGGCCGUUAAACAGCCUUACAAACCCCAAGGUUGACCUCGGAUCAGGUAGGAAGACCCGCUGAACUUAAGCAUAUCAAUAAGCGGAGGA